rfam:Salmo salar isolate Sally breed double haploid chromosome ssa06, whole genome shotgun sequence.
AAUGCACCAAUUUGUAAGUCGCUCUGGAUAAGAGCGUCUGGUAAAUGAUGUAAA